AAUUGGAGGGCAAGUCUGGUGCCAGCAGCCGCGGUAAUUCCAGCUCCAAUAGCGUAUAUUAAAGUUGUUGCAGUUAAAAAGCUCGUAGUUGAAUUUCGGGGUCAGUAGAUUGGUCGUGCCACUGGUAUGUACUGGUCUUACUGGCUCCUCCUUCCUGAUGAACCGUAAUGCCAUUAAUUUGGUGUUGCGGGGAGACUGGACUGUUACUUUGAAAAAAUUAGAGUGUUUAAAGCAGGCUAACGCUUGAAUACAUUAGCAUGGAAUAAUGAAAUAGGACGUUCGAUCUUAUUUUGUUGGUUUCUAGGAUUGACGUAAUGAUUAAUAGGGAUAGUUGGGGGCAUUAGUAUCCAAUUGUCAGAGGUGAAAUUCUUGGAUUUAUUGAAGACUAACUACUGCGAAAGCAUUUGCCAAGGAUGUUUUCAUUAAUCAAGAACGAAAGUUAGGGGAUCGAAGACGAUCAGAUACCGUCGUAGUCUUAACCAUAAACUAUGCCGACUAGGGAUCGGAUGAUGUUAAUUUUUUAAUGACUCAUUCGGCGCCUUACGGGAAACCAAAGUGU
rnacentral:rRNA from 1 species